rnacentral:rRNA from 1 species
AGGACGAACGCUGGCGGUGUGCUUCACACAUGCAAGUCGAACGAGGUAGUAAUACCUAGUGGCGGACGGGUGAGUAACGCGUGGGAAUCUGCCUUUAGAUGGGGGAUAACGGGCCGAAAGGUCCGCUAAUACCGCAUAGGCCGCAAGGUUAAAGGAGUAAUCCGUCUAAAGAUGAGCCCGCGUCCGAUUAGCUAGUUGGUAGGGUAAAAGCCUACCAAGGCGACGAUCGGUAGCUGGUCUGAGAGGAUGAUCAGCCACAAUGGGACUGAGACACGGCCCAUACUCCUACGGGAGGCAGCAGUGGGGAAUUUUGUGCAAUGGGCGAAAGCCUGACACAGCGACACCGCGUGAGCGAAAGAAGCCCCUUUGGGGUGUAAAGCUCUGUCAGCUGGAACGAAAAAAAAUGACGGUACCAGCAGAGGAAGCAUCGGCUAACUACGUGCCAGCAGCCGC